rnacentral:rRNA from 1 species
AUCCUCGCCAUUCACACAUUACCCAUGCACAUACGUUGCGUUUCUUAUCGAGCCAGAAAUCCCAAGUCCGUUGUAAUAGUCUGAUCAUUCUGAAACGCCUACAGUGCCCAGAAGGCUCAGAUAAUAAAAAACCGCAGGGGUAUACAAAAAAGAGUUUUAGGUUGGUCCUUCCGGCCGGCGCUUUGGUCCCGGGCUGGACGCACCCGGGGCAGAGAUUCCCGCCGAGGCAACAGUUUGGUAACGUUCACAUUGGUUUGGAGUUGUAAACUCGGUAAUGACUUCCUCCGGCUUAUCAUAGGCUGGAGUUCAGCGGAGGUAUUCCUACUUCCCAAAGCCAAUCAUUUCACGUUACCAAAGGUGUUUCCUCGGCGGGGGGAUCUCUGCCGCGGGUGCGGAUCGCAGCCCCGGACCAAGGUGCCCGGCGGAGGACCAACCUAAAACUCUUUUUGUAUACCCCCUCGGCGGGUUUUUUAUAAUCUGAGCCUUCUCGGCGCCUCUCGUAGGCGUUUCGAAAAUGAAUCAAAACUUUCAACAACGGAUCUCUUGGUUCUGGCAUCGAUGAAGAACGCAGCGAAAUGCGAUAAGUAAUGUGAAUUGCAGAAUUCAGUGAAUCAUCGAAUCUUUGAACGCACAUUGCGCCCGCCAGUAUUCUGGCGGGCAUGCCUGUCCGAGCGUCAUUUCAACCCUCGAACCCCUCCGGGGGGUCGGCGUUGGGGAUCGGCCCUCCCUUAGCGGGUGGCCGUCUCCGAAAUACAGUGGCGGUCUCGCCGCAGCCUCUCCUGCGCAGUAGUUUGCACACUCGCAUCGGGAGCGCGGCGCGUCCACAGCCGUUAAACACCCAACUUCUGAAAUGUUGACCUCGGAUCAGGUAGGAAUACCCGCUGAACUUAAGCAUAUGAAAAAGCCGGGGGGAA